GAUGAACGCUGGCGGCGUGCCUAAUACAUGCAAGUCGAGCGAACAGACGAGGAGCUUGCUCCUCUGACGUUAGCGGCGGACGGGUGAGUAACACGUGGAUAACCUACCUAUAAGACUGGGAUAACUUCGGGAAACCGGAGCUAAUACCGGAUAAUAUAUUUAACCGCAUGGUUCAAUAGUGAAAUACGGUUUUGCUGUCACUUAUAGAUGGAUCCGCGCCGCAUUAGCUAGUUGGUAAGGUAACGGCUUACCAAGGCAACGAUGCGUAGCCGACCUGAGAGGGUGAUCGGCCACACUGGAACUGAGACACGGUCCAGACUCCUACGGGAGGCAGCAGUAGGGAAUCUUCCGAAAUGGGCGAAAGCCUGACGGAGCAACGCCGCGUGAGUGAUGAAGGUCUUCGGAUCGUAAAACUCUGUUAUUAGGGAAGAACAAAUGUGUAAGUAACUAUGCACGUCUUGACGGUACCUAAUCAGAAAGCCACGGCUAACUACGUG
rnacentral:rRNA from 1 species